GACGAACGCUGGCGGCGUGCCUAAUACAUGCAAGUAGAACGCUGAAGAGAGGAGCUUGCUCUUCUUGGAUGAGUUGCGAACGGGUGAGUAACGCGUAGGUAACCUGCCUUGUAGCGGGGGAUAACUAUUGGAAACGAUAGCUAAUACCGCAUAACAAUGGAUGACCCAUGUCAUUUAUUUGAAAGGGGCAAAUGCUCCACUACAAGAUGGACCUGCGUUGUAUUAGCUAGUAGGUGAGGUAACGGCUCACCUAGGCGACGAUACAUAGCCGACCUGAGAGGGUGAUCGGCCACACUGGGACUGAGACACGGCCCAGACUCCUACGGGAGGCAGCAGUAGGGAAUCUUCGGCAAGGGGGGCAACCCUGACCGAGCAACGCCGCGUGAGUGAAGAAGGGUUUCGGAUCGUAAAGCUCUGUUGUAAGUCAAGAACGAGUGUGAGAGUGGAAAGUUCACACUGUGACGGUAGCUUACCAGAAAGGGACGGCUAACUACGUG
rnacentral:rRNA from 1 species